rnacentral:tRNA from 2 species
GAGUCCGUAGCCAAGAGGCCAGGCACCGGAUUGCAACUCCGGCAACGUGGGUUCGACUCCCACCGGGCUCU